rnacentral:lncRNA from 1 species
AUAUUUUUAAGUUAUACUCUAUGAUAUGAUGAACAAAGAAAGUAGACUUUUUAAGAGUCUUCUUUUUUUGUUUUUGACAACUCUUUGUUAUUCUUCGAGUCAUGCAAUUACUCAUCGAAAACUAUUGGAACUAAAAUCUCCAAUUUAUAAUUAUGGUGAUAUGUUACCAAAGUUUGUCCCUUUACCUCCAUCUGCUCCGUCUUGUAAAACAAGUCCUGGUACACCAAGGUCUACAACGUGUCCGCCACCGAUUCCCGCCUCGUUGCCACCUCCACCACCGGUUGCUACCUCAUUGCCGCCUAAUGCACCACCACCGAGGGCGGAUGAUGGUGUCAACCGUCCAUCGAAAUUAUAUGCAUAGGGAAGCUCUGGUGUUACUAUGCUGUAUGUGCAUUUUAAAUUGAAUGUAUAAACUGCUUUGAUAAGGAGCCAAAAAGGCAUUAAGCAUAGAAAAUAAUUUCACAUGGGUGCUUUAUUUUUAUAAUGCACGAAUCUUAUGAAAGUUCUUUGCAUUUUUUGUCCUUAACCUAUGCUUCUUUUUUAU